rnacentral:rRNA from 1 species
GAUGAACGCUGGCGGCGUGCCUAAUACAUGCAAGUCGAGCGAACAGACGAGGAGCUUGUUCCUUUGACGUUAGCGGCGGACGGGUGAGUAACACGUAGGUAACCUACCUAUAAGACUGGGAUAACUUCGGGAAACCGGAGCUAAUACCGGAUAAUAUCUCGAACCACAUGGUUCGAUAGUGAAAGAUGGAUUUGCUAUCAUUUAUAGAUGGACCUGCGCCGUAUUAGCUAGUUGGUAAGGUAACGGCUUACCAAGGGAACGAUACGUAGCCGACCUGAGAGGGUGAUCGGCCACACUGGAACGGAGACACGGUCCAGACUCCUACGGGAGGCAGCAGUGGGGAAUCUUCCGCAAUGGGCGAAAGCCGGACGGAGCAACGCCGCGGGAGUGAUGAAGGUCUUCGGAUCGUAAAACUCUGUUAUUAGGGAAGAACAAACGUGUAAGUAACUGUGCACGUCUUGACGGUACCUAAUCAGAAAGCCACGGCUAACUACGUG